UACGUAGGGGGCAAGCGUUGUCCGGAUUUAUUGGGCGUAAAGAGCGUGUAGGCGGCCGCACAGGUCCGUUGUGAAAACUGGAGGCUCAACCUUCAGACGUCGAUGGAAACCGUGCGGCUAGAGUCCGGAAGAGGAGAGUGGAAUUCCUGGUGUAGCGGUGAAAUGCGCAGAUAUCAGGAAGAACACCCGUGGCGAAGGCGGCUCUCUGGGACGGUACUGACGCUGAGGUGCGAAAGUGCGGGGAGCAAACAGG
rnacentral:rRNA from 1 species